rnacentral:lncRNA from 1 species
GUUGACCGGUUUAGGAGUUAUUGCCCUUUAUAGUCAAUUUUUAACCAUUUUUCGUAAAUUAAAGUAAUCUUUUACAAAAAGCUUCUCCUCUGAAACUACUGGGUUAAAUUAAUUCAAACUUGGCCACAAUCAUCUUUGGGGUAUCUAGUUAAAAAAAUGUGUGGCGUGACCUGGUCAACCAACCAAGAUGGCCGCCACCGCUAAAAAUAGAACAUAGGGGUAAAAUGCAGUUUUUGGCUUAUAACUCAAAAACCAAAGCAUUUUGAGGAAAUCUGACAUGGGGAUAUAAAUGUUUAUCAGGUCAAGAUCUAUCUGCCCUGAAAUUUUCAGAUGAAUCGGUCAAUCGGUUGUUGGGUUGCUGCCCCUGAAUUGGUAAUUUUGAG